GAUGAAGAACGUAGUGAAAUGCGAUAAGUAAUGUGAAUUGCAGAAUUCAGUGAAUCAUCGAAUCUUUGAACGCACAUUGCGCCCGCCAGUAUUCUGGCGGGCAUGCCUGUUCGAGCAUCAUUACAACCCUCAGGCCCCCGGGCCUGGCGUUGGGGAUCGGCGGAGCCCCCCGUGGGCACACGCCGUCCCCCAAAUACAGUGGCGGUCCCGCCGCAGCUUCCAUCGCGUAGUAGCUAACACCUCGCGACUGGAGAGCGGCGCGGCCACGCCGUAAAACACCCAACUCUUCUGAAGUUGACCUCGAAUCAGGUAGGAAUACCCGCUGAACUUAAGCAUAUCAAUAAGCGGAGGA
rnacentral:misc_RNA from 1 species